rnacentral:rRNA from 1 species
UACGUAGGGGGGCAAGCGUUGUCCGGAUUUAUUGGGCGUAAAGAGCGUGUAGGCGGCCAUGCAGGUCCGUUGUGAAAACUCGAGGCUCAACCUCGAGACGUCGAUGGAAACCGCAUGGCUAGAGUCCGGAAGAGGAGAGUGGAAUUCCUGGUGUAGCGGUGAAAUGCGCAGAGUAUCAGGAAGAACACCCGUGGCGAAGGCGGCUCUCUGGGACGGUACUGACGCUGAGACGCGAAAGCGUGGGGAGCGAACAGG